rnacentral:rRNA from 1 species
CAGGCUUAACACAUGCAAGUCGAGGGGCAGCAUGGUCUUAGCUUGCUAAGGCCGAUGGCGACCGGCGCACGGGUGAGUAACACGUAUCCAACCUGCCGUCUACUCUUGGACAGCCUUCUGAAAGGAAGAUUAAUACAAGAUGGCAUCAUGAGUCCGCAUGUUCACAUGAUUAAAGGUAUUCCGGUAGACGAUGGGGAUGCGUUCCAUUAGAUAGUAGGCGGGGUAACGGCCCACCUAGUCUUCGAUGGAUAGGGGUUCUGAGAGGAAGGUCCCCCACAUUGGAACUGAGACACGGUCCAAACUCCUACGGGAGGCAGCAGUGAGGAAUAUUGGUCAAUGGGCGAGAGCCUGAACCAGCCAAGUAGCGUGAAGGAUGACUGCCCUAUGGGUUGUAAACUUCUUUUAUAAAGGAAUAAAGUCGGGUAUGGAUACCCGUUUGCAUGUACUUUAUGAAUAAGGAUCGGCUAACUCCGUGCCAGCAGCCGCGGUAAUACGGAGGAUCCGAGCGUUAUCCGGAUUUAUUGGGUUUAAAGGGAGCGUAGAUGGAUGUUUAAGUCAGUUGUGAAAGUUUGCGGCUCAACCGUAAAAUUGCAGUUGAUACUGGAUAUCUUGAGUGCAGUUGAGGCAGGCGGAAUUCGUGGUGUAGCGGUGAAAUGCUUAGAUAUCACGAAGAACUCCGAUUGCGACGGCAGCCUGCUAAGCUGCAACUGACAUUGAGGCUCGAAAGUGUGGGUAUCAAACAGGAUUAGAUACCCUGGUAGUCCACACGGUAAACGAUGAAUACUCGCUGUUUGCGAUAUACAGCAAGCGGCCAAGCGAAAGCGUUAAGUAUUCCACCUGGGGAGUACGCCGGCAACGGUGAAACUCAAAGGAAUUGACGGGGGCCCGCACAAGCGGAGGAACAUGUGGUUUAAUUCGACGAUACGCGAGGAACCUUACCCGGGCUUAAAUUGCAGAUGAAUUACGGUGAAAGCCGUAAGCCGCAAGGCAUCUGUGAAGGUGCUGCAUGGUUGUCGUCAGCUCGUGCCGUGAGGUGUCGGCUUAAGUGCCAUAACGAGCGCAACCCUUGUUGUCAGUUACUAACAGGUUCCGCUGAGGACUCUGACAAGACUGCCAUCGUAAGAUGUGAGGAAGGUGGGGAUGACGUCAAAUCAGCACGGCCCUUACGUCCGGGGCUACACACGUGUUACAAUGGGGGGUACAGAGGGCCGCUACCACGCGAGUGGAUGCCAAUCCCCAAAACCUCUCUCAGUUCGGACUGGAGUCUGCAACCCGACUCCACGAAGCUGGAUUCGCUAGUAAUCGCGCAUCAGCCACGGCGCGGUGAAUACGUUCCCGGGCCUUGUACACACCGCCCGUCAAGCCAUGGGAGCCGGGGGUACCUGAAGUGCGUAACCGCGAGGAGCGCCCUAGGGUAAAACUGGUGACUGGGGCUAA